AAAGCUCCCCAGAGCCUUAGGGAUACAGGGGGGCCUCAACCCUUCAUUAGCACUGGUCAAGCAUAGGGAGUCCCAGGUUAGGAGCUGUGAUGAGACCCCAGCUAUCCCUGUGGAGAAGUCUGAGCAUGGAUACGGGGUUUGGCGAGAGGAGGAUCCUGUGAAAGUGGACAGAACCUAGUGUGUCACGGGGGUUCAGGAGCCUGGUUUCAGUGGCCUAGGUGAUUGCCAGACGCCCAGCUUCCCCGAGCAUGAACACUACCCUGGUGUCCAUACAGCAGAAGGCCUGGGAGGUGGGGCCCCAGAGCUACUGAUGCCUUGAGCCAUUGGUAGGCAAGGCUUUUCCACUGUCCAUGGAUCCAGAAAUGCAUGUGAUGGGAGCUGCUCAGGCAGGGCUGGCCCACGGUUGACCCUCAAGCACUGCCCUUAGUGGGUCCAUCCUGCAUCUCAUCUAGGGUUUCCUCUUCUGAUGCACAUCAGUGGAGGAGGGUGCAAUGAUGGACAACUGGGGACCCCGGUCUGAGACGUGGAGCAGCGAGUGAGCAGAUGAGACGUAGCUGUGUACCACACACCUGACCUGAGAGCCAAGGCAGCAGGAGCUGGGAAGCUGGGCAGAGUUUGGAAAGAGCUUGCCCUUUUUGCACAGCCCCUGCUCUGCUCUGUAUCACUGUGUGCUGGAUCUGACACAGUAAUACGUGGCGGUGUCUGCAGCUGUCAGGGAGUGCAUCUGCAGGGAGAGCUGGUUCUGGGAGGUGUCUGCAGAGAUGUUCGUUCGGUUCUUGAACAAUGGGUUGGGGAGUGCUUUUCCCACCGCCGGUGAAUAUGCUCCAAUCCAUUCAAUCUCAUUUAGCCCCUUCCCAGGUCCCAGCCGGGCCCAGAGCCAAAAAUAGCUGUUGUCAGUCAGGGACACACCAGAGACAGUGCAUUGCAGGGUGAGGGUCUCCCCAGGCCGCACCACAUCUGUGCCAGACUGGAGUAGUGUCACCCCUGCGAAGGCACCUGGGAGACAAAAGACAAGACCAAAACAGAAUGAGCUACCUGCUGCGCCUGGGGUGUGUCCCCACAUCAUUCCCCAUCUGCGCCAAGAACUGACCUGUGGGAGCAAGGAGCAGCGGGAGGAAGAGCAGGAGAGCAGCCAUCCCGCUAUGGGGGGAGCAAGGAAACGCUGGAACAAAGUUCUCAGGAGAGUGGUGGGUUUUCCAACUCUUGCUGUUUUCACACUGGGACUGGAUAAUUGGAGUCAAACCAAGGUAGCUGACUAUCUGUGAAGGUCAUGGGGUUAAAUUUAGACCACAGAUGUCAGGAGUUUGGACUGUUUGGUCAGAUGGUCCUUUCUAUCCUGGGACUUUGGGAGUGAUGGAUUUAAGGCCUAAGGAUAUGUCUGCUGAAGUCACUGGGGAGACCACAUCGGCUUCAAUGCCUCCUGGUUUGGGCUGGUACCUCAACAAGGAACAGCAUUACAGUCACGUUUCUAAGGCUGGUUCUGGGCCAGGAUGCGUUAGGUCUCAGGGUUUUGUCCAAGCCUCCAGUCACUGUGGGCAGCACAGUAAUACACAGCACUGUCCUCAGGCUGCAGGUUCCUCACUUCCAAGUGAAUCAAGCUGUUGGCAUUGUCCCUGGUGAUCUUAACACGCUCCUGAAAAGCCCGCCGAACGUUGGUAGAUGUGGCAUCUUUGUUAGCCUCCCCAAUCCAGCUCAGUCCCAGGCUGUGGGGCUGCCGGACCCACUGCAUCCAGUACUUGGUAAAAUCAGAGCCAGAGUAUUUGCAGGAAAGUUUCAGGGUCUCCGCAGGUCGUUUAACUUCUGAUGGUGGCUGGAUCAGGGACCCUUGGCUCUGGACAGCUGAAGGUAUAAGUCUUUGUUAGCAGAUGGCUGAGUAGGAAGUGGUGGAGACAGAUUAUAGCAGGUGGAAAGAUGCAUGUUGAAAGGGCAGAGAUGCAUACAGUCCCUGAAGGGACCGAAGGAAAAGCAACAAUUGCUAGGUACUGCAGUAAGAUUCAUGGAUAGGAAUAGUGAGCUAGUUGGAUAUAUAUACUAGUAGAGGUUUAACCAAGGUCAAAGUGGUCCCAUCAAAUAAUACAUGCCAGCUUCUAUAGCCAACUGCACAUAGAGCUGUUAUGCCUCCAGCUGCCUUUGAGCCACAACUUUGAAUAACCAAGGCUUGAACUCACACCUCUGAAGCUGGAUUGAAUUGCCUGAACUGCUCUUCUUUUGUGCCUCGUUAGCUGUUUCUUCCCAUCUCUUUUCUACUUAGGCACUAUUAAAAAUUCAGCAGAAAGGAACAGGAGAUUGCGGGAGGGAAGCAAGAGGACCAUGCGACCACUGUAUGGUGCUCUACUUACCCCAAAAGCAGCUCAGCAGCACGGAGAUGAAAAGGAAGGAGCACAUGGUGAAGGG